AUGGUGUUUAUUCAUGACGGGGAGGGGAGACAGGUGCUCCAAUAAAGCCUCUCCCCCUCCAUCUCCAGGCUGGCAGGUUGAGGGCUCGGAGUAGGAAAUAAACUGAUUUUCAAAAAUAAAGAAGCUGAUAUGCCUUUCAGUCUUGGGUUUAAGGCCUGCAACUUGUCCUUGCCUCCUUGAUUCCAGGGUACAGACUCAUCCAAGGAAGGGAGGAUCUUUUCCUUUGACAUUAUUUCCUUUACAACUUGUACAAUCCUCUAUUCCUUUGGCAUUUCCAUUUAUUCAUUCAUUCCAUAAAUAUUAAUGGAAAGUCUGCAAUUUGUUAGGUACUGGGUUGAAUGCGGAGGAUUCAGUGGUGAACAAAGCCGGCCCCUGGCCCCACGGACCCUAUAGUCUCACCAGGGAGACAUAUAUUCAUCAAAUAAUUCUACAAAUAUUUAUAUAUACAUAUGUACACCUGGAUAAAGACUGAAAGGAAAACAGAUGCCGCUAUGAGGAUGCUGGUAACUCCAGGCAGAAGGAAAGUGCAAAGGAGAAGGGAGGCAGCACACAUUAUGCAGGUAAAUACAUCAUGAAAAUGCAGGAUGCCGGAGACUUCCCAUCACGUCCUGAUAUCCUCCUCUCAUCUUCUAGGUAAUAGAACCCCUGAUUUAUAACUCGGCAUUUGGCUGCAGAAAAUAAAGAUCAUAUUUUCCAUCCUCUUUGGCA
rnacentral:lncRNA from 1 species